rnacentral:misc_RNA from 1 species
AGGGAUCAUUGAUAAAAAAAAUCAGUUGAAGUGCUGGCAAAAACAUGUAUGUGCACUCAAUUGAAAUCCACACCACACUUGUGCACAUUAGAGACCCUUUGCCGUUGGGAAAGGGUCCCAUUUUUCACGCUUGUCAACGAAUGUCUUUUUGCUUUAGCAAUCUUAUACAACUUUCAACGACGGAUCUCUUGGCUCUC